CUAAAACCAUUUGACUAUUUACAGUUCAUUGCAGUGGUUAUGGUGCGUAUAGCACGCCAUGCACAUUAUAUUCCGUACUAUACAAAUGGAUGCAGAUGUUCAUAUAGCAUAACUGCUGGUACCCGAGAGUUCAUAACUAGCAACUGGGGGAUAAUGUCGAUCUUAUUAGUGACAGUCCCAUUUUAAUUGUAAUUUCACUGCAACGUUGCUUUAAAGACCUAAACCAUUUGAAUUCUAAAUUGUUGUUUGAUUACACAGUAAAGAGACAAAGUAACUGCAGAGGCGUAUUUUCCUGAAAUCCUAUGCUACUCUUACCUUUACAG